rnacentral:rRNA from 1 species
GACGAACGCUGGCGGCGUGCUUAACACAUGCAAGUCGAACGGUGAACUCCGCUUGCGGGGGGAUCAGUGGCGAACGGGUGAGUAACACGUGGGCAACCUGCCCUCAGCUCUGGGAUAACUCCAAGAAAUUGGGGCUAGUACCGGAUAUGACCGCUGACCGCAUGGUCUGGUGGUGGAAAGAUUUAUCGGCUGGGGAUGGGCCCGCGGCCUAUCAGCUUGUUGGUGGGGUAGUGGCCUACCAAGGCGACGACGGGUAGCCGGCCUGAGAGGGUGACCGGCCACACUGGGACUGAGACACGGCCCAGACUCCUACGGGAGGCAGCAGUGGGGAAUAUUGCGCAAUGGGCGAAAGCCUGACGCAGCGACGCCGCGUGGGGGAUGACGGCCUUCGGGUUGUAAACCUCUUUCAGCAGGGACGAAGCGAAAGUGACGGUACCUGCAGAAGAAGCACCGGCCAACUACGUG